UGGGGGAAUAUUGCACAAUGGGGGGAAACCCUGAUGCAGCAACGCCGCGUGAGCGAAGAAGUAUUUCGGUAUGUAAAGCUCUAUCAGCAGGGAAGAAAAUGACGUUACCCUCAGAAGAAGCACCGGCUAACUCCGUGCCAGCAGCCGCGGUAAUACGGAGGGUGCAAGCGUUAAUCGGAAUAACUGGGCGUAAAGGGCAUGCAGGCGGUUAUGCAAGCAGGAUGUGAAACCCCCGGGCUUAACCUGGGAACUGCAUUCUGAACUACAUGACUAGAGUAUUGCAGGGGGGAGACGGAAUUCCAGGUGUAGCGGUGGAAUGCGUAGAUAUCUGGAAGAACACCAAGGCGAAGGCAGUCUCCUGGGCAAAUACUGACGCUCAUAUGCGAAAGCGUGGGUAGCAAACAGGAUUAGAUACCCUGGUAGU
rnacentral:rRNA from 1 species